rnacentral:lncRNA from 1 species
UAUGCCUGGAUGUUUAAAGUUUAUGCCUAUGCAUAGCGGGUAGAUGGAAGUGUGCAUAAGAUGCGAGUUGCCAAUCGAAAGAGACCUAAACUAAAACCUCCUCAAUCAAGUCGAGAGUGAACCAACAUGAGCGGGUCAUAUUAGAUUAAUUGAUCUAAUUGGUGUCUAGGAAAGCAUGAAAGGUGGUUACUUAAUUAGGACCUUACUCUCAGAGUAAGGAGAGC